rnacentral:rRNA from 1 species
CCCCUAGAUGUUCUGGGCCGCACGCGCGCUACACUGAACAGUUCAACAAGUCUUAACCUUGGCCGAUAGGUCUGGGUAAUCUUUGAACGCUGUUCGUGAUUGGGAUAGACCUUUGCAAUUAUGGGUCUUCAACGAGGAAUUCCUAGUAAACGCAAGUCAUCAGCUUGCAUUGAUUACGUCCCUGCCCUUUGUACACACCGCCCGUCGCACCUACCGAUUGAAUGGUCCGGUGAAACCUCCGGAUUGGCGCGUGCCCUCGGGCGCCGCCGAGAAGUUGGUUAAACCUUACCAUUUAGAGGAAGGUGAAGUCGUANCA